GUCAGGAUGGCCGAGCGGUCUAAGGCGCUGCCUUCAGGUCGCAGUCUCCUCUGGAGGCGUUGGUUCAAAUCCAAUUUCUGACA